rnacentral:sRNA from 20 species
CCUGUAGAUUUACCACCUACAGAACAUGCCAUCGAGUAAAACCCCGAACUAGGGUUAUUGGUAUGCCCACCUUAAUGAAUCGAAAGCAAGUAAAGUUAGCCAUGCAUGUAGGGCGGAUGUGAUUGUGAGUAGCGGUGUAUUAGCAGUGGCCGAGCUAAUA